AACUUGCCUCUUGGACUGGGACAACUGUUGGAAACGACAGCUAAUACCGGAUAUUAUGAGAUUCUCGCAUGAGAAACUUAUGAAAGCUAUAUGCGCCAAGAGAGAGCCUUGCGUUCCAUUAGCUAGUUGGUGGGGUAACGGCCCACCAAGGCGACGAUGGAUAGCCGGCCUGAGAGGGUGAGCGGCCACAAGGGGACUGAGACACGGCCCUUACUCCUACGGGAGGCAGCAGUGGGGAAUAUUGGACAAUGGGCCACAAGCCUGAUCCAGCAAUUCUGUGUGCACGAUGAAGGUCUUCGGAUUGUAAAGUGCUUUCAGUUGGGAAGAAGAAAGUGACGGUACCAACAGAAGAAGCGACGGCUAAAUACGUGCCAGCAGCCGCGGUAAUACGUAUGUCGCAAGCGUUAUCCGGAUUUAUUGGGCGUAAAGCGCGUCUAGGCGGAAAAAUAAGUCUGAUGUUAAAAUGCGGGGCUCAACUCCGUAUUGCGUUGGAAACUGUUUUUCUAGAGUACUGGAGAGGUGGGCGGAACUACAAGUGUAGAGGUGAAAUUCGUAGAUAUUUGUAGGAAUGCCGAUGGAGAAGUCAGCUCACUGGACAGAUACUGACGCUGAAGCGCGAAAGCGUGGGGAGCAAACAGGAUUAGAUACCCUGGUAGUCCACGCCGUAAACGAUGAUCACU
rnacentral:rRNA from 1 species